UGUAGGUGGAAGCAGUGGUGGAGGAGGAGGAUGAGGUAGCCAACACUGUUAUUUUAUUUGUUUUUGUUUGUUUUUUUAAUUGGGGUAGCCCCCAAAAUAUUGGGACAUAUAAAAAAAAAAAAAAGACAACUCUGUUCUGCAGAGUAGCUGUUGACAUUAAAGUUGCUCAGGAACUUUGUUGACUCUAGAGAACCUCAGGCAAAGCGCACAUCCCCGUGGCGAUGACUUUGCAUGCGGAUGUCAUCUAUAUCAACUUACGAUGCCAGUUUCUGCGCCUACCAUGGUGACCACAGGAAAUCAGGGUUCCAUUCCGUACAGGGACCCUGAGAAACUGCUACCACAUGCAAGGAAGGCAGCA